UAUAUGGUGGUAGAAAUUUAAAAUAUAUGGAGCAAGAAUUGAAAAUAGACAUAGUGUAUUAUUUAUUUAUUUAACUGAAUUUAAUAUUUUUCUUUAUCAAAGCCACUGAAUUUCAAAAUGGGCUGUUUUUCAAUGGGCCAGCCCAAUUCAAUCUGGUCUAGCGCGAAGCUCCAUGUUCAUAAGAUUCAGUACUUUAUAUUCACUUGUAAGAAUCAAACGCGGCAACCCUGACGAUUCAAUUCCUCUUCACUUGUUAUCGUUAAUCAUCAACUUCUGAUUUCUGGGCAAAGGAAUUUGCGGAUCUUCAUCUUUCACAAGCCUCGCCACAGGCACCACUCUGAUGAGAAACGACAUAUCGCGAUUCGCAAGGUUUUGAUUUUAAAAGAUAAAGGCCUUAGGAGACUUCUACUGCUUGGUACUUUCAUUGAUACUGAUAUCAAAGAUUUGGAGAAUGAUGGAGCUAAGUGAUUCUGUGGACAAGGCAGCGGCAAUAAUAGUUUGGAAAAUAUGAUAUUCUACACUAAGAGACAAAUUGCACUGGGUUUAAAGAUGCAUCCAAUAGCUUUGGAAGCACCUUUCUGUUAUAUAUUAAAAUUAAUGAGCAUUCCUUAUGUAGAAGAUUCUCAUCAGCUGAUAUUUGAAGCAAUUGUGAAUUUUUGGAGAAACUUAACAUAUUGGUAGCUUUUGUAUUAAAAAACCAUGGGCCAAGUAAAAGGAAUGGAUGCUUUUUUGAAGAAUCUAA